GUUCUCUCUUGGCAGAGCAUAUUCUAAAACUGGAAUGAAAGGGAAAAGAUUAGUGUUGCACCUAUGCAAAGAUGCCAUGCAAAUUCAGGAAGCAUACUGUAGCUCA